rnacentral:rRNA from 1 species
UACGUAGGUGGCAAGCGUUGUCCGGAUUUACUGGGCGUAAAGAGCGCGCAGGCGGUCGUUCAAGUCGUGUGUGAAAGCCCCCGGCUCAACUGGGGAGGGUCACGCGAUACUGAUCGACUCGAAGGCAGGAGAGGGAAGUGGAAUUCCCGGUGUAGUGGUGAAAUGCGUAGAUAUCGGGAGGAACACCAGUGGCGAAGGCGACUUCCUGGCCUGUUCUUGACGCUGAGGCGCGAAAGCUAGGGGAGCAAACGGG